rnacentral:rRNA from 1 species
AUACGAAGGGUGCAAGCGUUGUUCGGAUUUACUGGGCGUAAAGAGAGUGUAGGUGGUUUAUUAAGUCGGAUGUGAAAUCCCGGGGCUCAACCUCGGAACUGCAUUCGAUACUGAUAGGCUAGAGUUUGGGAGGGGUAAGCGGAAUUCCGUGUGUAGCAGUGAAAUGCGUAGAUAUACGGAGGAACACCUGAGGCGAAGGUGGCUUACUGGACCAAUACUGACACUGAGACUCGAAAGCGUGGGUAGCAAACAGGAUUAGAAACCCUAGUAGUCC